UCCUGGUCCGCCAGUGGGCGUGGCCAGCAGUGGCCUCUGUCCGCGCCCCGCCCUGGGCGCCUACCCCCGGGCCCCGGGUCCCCGGCCUCCAGCUCCCUGCCGCCCCUUCGACGACGCCUGGUGCGCCCGCGCGCCCGCCCAUGGCUGGGAAGGUGCUGUCGCUGCUGCCGCCGUUGCUGCUGGCCGCGGCGGGCCUCGCCGGGCUCCUACUGCUGUGCGUCCCCACUCGAGACAUCUGGGAGCUGCCCGCCCUCAAGUACGGCAUUGUCCUGGACGCCGGCUCCUCGCACACGUCCAUGUUCAUCUACAAGUGGCCUGCAGACAAGGAGAAUGACACAGGCAUCGUGGGCCAGCACAGCUCCUGUAAUGUACGCGGAGGGGGCAUCUCCAGCUACGCAGACGACCCUUCCAGGGCUGGCCAGAGUCUCGUUGAAUGCCUGGACCAGGCACUUCAGGAGGUGCCCAAGGAGAGCCAUGUGCACACGCCCCUCUACCUGGGAGCCACAGCAGGCAUGCGCCUGCUCAACCUGACCAGUCCCGAGGCCUCGGCCAACGUGCUCGCGGCUGUGACCCGGACGCUGACCCGGUAUCCCUUCGAUUUCCGUGGCGCCCACAUCCUCUCGGGCCAGGACGAGGGGGUGUUCGGUUGGGUGACGGCCAACUACCUGCUGGAGAACUUCAUCAAGUAUGGCUGGGUGGGCCGGUGGUUCCGGCCAAGGAAGGGGACGCUGGGGGCCAUGGACCUGGGGGGCGCCUCCACACAGAUCACCUUCGAGACGGCCAGCCCAGCCGAGGAUCCAGCCAAUGAGGUCCGGCUGCGGCUCUAUGGCCAGCACUACUGCGUCUACACCCACAGCUUCCUCUGCUAUGGCCGUGACCAGGUCCUCCGGAGGCUGCUGGCUGGUGCACUCCAGACCCACGGCUUCCACCCUUGCUGGCCGAGGGGCUAUUCUACCCAAGUGCUGCUUCAGGACGUGUAUGAGUCUCCAUGUACCGCGGCCCAGCGGCCCCAGACCUUCAACAGCAGCACCCGGGUCAGCCUGGCGGGGAGCAGCGACCCUGCCCUCUGCCGUGGCCUCAUCUUAGGACUCUUCAAUUUCUCCUCCUGCCACUUCUCCCGAUGUUCCUUUAAUGGCAUCUUCCAGCCCCCAGUGGCUGGGAACUUCAUGGCCUUCUCUGCUUUCUUCUACACCGUGGACUUCCUAAGGUCUGUGAUGGGGCUUCCUGUGGCAACCCUGCAGCAGCUGGAGACAGCCGUAGUCGCCGUCUGCAAGCAGACAUGGAGUCAGCUGCAGGCUAAGGCUCCAGGGCAGCGGGCCCGCCUGCCCGACUACUGCGCGGGGGCCAUGUUCGUGCAGCAGCUGCUGAGCCGCGGCUACGGCUUCGACGAGCGCGCCUUCGGAGGGGUGACCUUCCAGAGCAAGGCCGGGGACACCGCGGUCGGCUGGGCGCUCGGCUACAUGCUCAACCUGACCAACCUGAUCCCCGCCGAGCCGCCGGAGCUGCGCAAGGGCACAGACUUCAGGUCCUGGGUCGCGCUUCUCCUGCUUUUCGCCGCCAUGCUUCUGGCCGCCGUGGUCCUGCUGCUGCGCCAGGCGCGCUCGGCCGGGGGGUCGAGCGCCAUCUAGCGGCGGGCCGGGUCCCGGUUCCCCGUCCCACCCGUGACGCCUCCGCCCACAACGCUGCUCCGGCCGAGACUGGGGGCCGGGCCCACGGGGGACCGGGGUGGGCGAAGGGAGCCACCUCCGGCCCCUGCCUGCCUGCUGCAGCCUUCUCCAGCCUCCAAGCAUGGGAAGGCAUGGUCUUGCCUGUGUCUCCCUGCCCCCGACCUUUCUAGAAAGUGAGUGCAGACACCAUUUCUGUCUGGUCAUUGCCCUGAGGGCAGCGCUUGCUCUGGGGUUUUGAGCCAUUUCACGAGCCCGAGGGCAGCCAGCCGUACUUUUGGGAUUGUGACACAAAGGGCUGAGAAGACGCAUCGGGUGUGGAGGCUCACCCCUGUUCUCUCGGCAAGGUGAGCCGGAGGGAGGUUUCCAGGUGGCAGGGGUGGCUGUGCUCUCUGGAGGCAACCGGUGCGCUGUAAGGGUGUGCAUCCAUAGGUGCGAGCUGCCGUGAGGCCUCGGGGAGCUAAGGGCUGUCACCUAGGGACCGUGGACAGCUCCCAGCCGCUCCAGGUCGCUCUUGCCCCCUGGCGGCCUCACUGAGAGCAGCCGCCCCAUUCCCCCGAGCGGUCACCAGCACCCGCCUGGUUCUGCGAGUGUCCGCUGCACACUGAGGGCCGUGUGUCCCUGAGGGCCCAGGUGCGGACGCACCUGUCCACCCGUGUGCGCCUGGUGUCCCUGUGUUCCUGGGGCUCGCGUCUCCAGGCCCAAGGCAGGUGCCCCGCUCCAGCGGGGCGGAGGUUGGGUGGGAAUUGACAGAGAGGGGACCCGAGGGAAGUGUGUCCCGCGGAAGCCCACCCCAGGCCUGGCCGGGUUUGUGGAGGACACAGAAGGCCCCCGGCUGCAGAGGCCACAGAAGUCGGGGCGCCCCGAGGCCCCGAGCGAGGAGGUGGAAUCGGAACUAGGGGAAG